CCUACUCCCACAGCCAGGAACUGGUCCAUCUGACACAGUGUUGUGAACUCAAAUUUUCCCUGCCUUUGAUGACUUCUUGCCUCUGGGAGAGAAAGAUUGAGUCCUCUGUGAUUGGGCGGACCCUACACCUGGUAAUGGGCAUUCGGGCUAGGAUGCCACGCUGUCCCUGACCUCCCAGCUCCCAGAGGGAGACAUCUGCAAGGCUUUGUCUUCUCAAAGAGGAGGAGCUUAGGACACAGGCACCCACACGGGAAAGACCAUGUGAGGUCACAGGGAGAAGACGGCCAUCUCUAAACCAAGGAGAGAGGCGUCUGAAGAAACCCAGCCCCUGACCUCUUGAUCUAAAGACCCCCAGUGUCCUGAAUGGUACUAGAGCCCAGUGUCGUGUUGCAGUGGAGGUUUGAGUCUGGUGAUGAACUGCCUGGUCCACGUCCUGCCUUUACACUACUAUCUGGAGGACCCUGGGCAAGUUCCCGGACUCAGCUGCUCAUUUUCUGGAGAAAAUAGGAGCUGAGGCACAACCUUCCAGGUUAUCAGUCUGGAGAAGGCAGUCCCAAGGAAGCAAGCAUGGCGUCGGGGCAGCAAGGCCAGGAAGAAGUUCUGCAGACCCAAGGAAUAGGAGCUAUUUUAGCCCUCUGAAGACCAGACCAGAAGACCCCAUGGACCCCAGAGAGGCUGAACAAGGGUGCAGAUGCCACUGAACUGCUGAAUAAGCCAAUCUUGGGCACAGAUCCAGACUCCCUGUCAUGUGAGAUGAUUCCAUAUCGUU